GAUGAAGAACGUAGCGAAAUGCGAUAAGUAAUGUGAAUUGCAGAAUUCAGUGAAUCGUCGAAUCUUUGAACGCACAUUGCGCCCCUUGGUAUUCCGAGGGGCAUGCCUAUUCGAGCGUCAUUAUCACCCCUCAAGCCUAGCUUGGUGUUGAGACCUGCUGUCAAGGCAGUCUCUAAAAUCAGUGGCAGUGCUGUCAGGCUCUAAGCGUAGUAAAUCUAAUCGCUAUAGACACCUGGUGGACACUCGCCAGAACCCCCCCAUUUUUUAAUGAUUGACCUCGGAUUAGGUAGGGAUACCCGCUGAACUUAAGCAUAUCAAUAAGCGGAGGA
rnacentral:misc_RNA from 1 species